GGUGAGAUGGCCGAGCGGUCCAAGGCGCCAGACUAAGGCUUUGACUUCAUCUGGUCUCUUCGGGGGCGGGAGUUCGAAUCUCCCUCUCAUCA